rfam:Thioalkalimicrobium aerophilum AL3, complete genome.
GGGGCUGUACUUGGUUUCGACGGGGAGAUUGAAGUUUGAGAGGCAUGUCGUGCCUGAAUGAUGCACGUAAAUCUUAAUUCACAUUGUUAUAGUUGCAAACGACGAUAACUACGCUCUAGCGGCUUAAUCCCGCUGGUGCGGCCCGGGGUAGUUGUUCGUGGCACCCGAUGCCGUAUCAUCUUACACGGAAUCGCCAACAUCGCGUGUUUGGGUAGAUGGUGGUUAAAACAGACAAACUCGUCGGACGCGUUCCCUGCUAGUCGGGCAGCGUUUUGAUUAAAUCAGUAGACUAAAUAAACAUGUAGAUUCUCCGAUGGAUGCUUUCCGGACGGCGGUUCGAAUCCGCCCAGCUCCACCA